AAGCGGUGGAUCAUGUUGUUAAUUCGAUGAUACGCGAAGAACCUUACCAGGUCUUGACAUCCCCGCGAUGCUUUAGAGAUAAAGCGGAGGUAUUCGGGGAGACAGGUGGUGCAUGGUUGUCGUCAGCUCGUGUCGUGAGAUGUUGGGUUAAGUCCCGCAACGAGCGCAACCCCUAUCUUAUGUCGCCAGCACGUUAUGGUGGGGACUCGUAAGAGACUGCCGGGGUCAACUCGGAGGAAGGUGGGGACGACGUCAAGUCAUCAUGCCCCUUAUGUCCAGGGCUUCACACAUGCUACAAUGGCCAGUACAGAGGGCUGCGAGACCGUGAGGUGGAGCGAAUCCCUUAAAGCUGGUCUCAGUUCGGAUCGGGGUCUGCAACUCGACCCCGUGAAGUCGGAGUCGCUAGUAAUCGCGCAUCAGCCAUGGCGCGGUGAAUACGUUCUCGGGCCUU
rnacentral:rRNA from 1 species